CCGAGUGCGGGUUCCAACGAGCCCAACCUCCCACCCGUGUUUACCAUGACCGCGUUGCCUCGGCGGGCCCACUGGGGCCUGGCCCCGGUCGCCGGGGGGCUCCUGCCCCCGGGUCCGCGCCCGCCGAAGCGCCCUGGAACCCUGUCUGAAUAGUGAGUCUGAGUGAAUGAUUAAAUCAUUA
rnacentral:misc_RNA from 1 species